rnacentral:lncRNA from 1 species
ACUCUCUGCGAGAUCCCCCCUCCUGCUUGGUAGGCGCCAGCCAGCCUGGUUAACCCCUGCAGACCCAAUCGAGGAAUGGCCUGGUGAGAAUCCACUGUCAAUCUCCUUUGGAACGGUGGUGUGGGACUUCAGGGAGAAAUUCUUGGCUGGCAGAGCUGUCCUCUUGGGGGAGUGGUGAGCUUCCAGUCACCAAAGGGAUGUAAGUAGAGGCAACAGCCAUCAGUCAGGGUUGCUUCUGAACAAUUCCUGCCCCAGAAGGAUGUGUAUACAGGACGUGAGGUUCCUCCUCACCCCUGGAGACCGGAGGAGAUCAUGGUCCCUCUGAGCGUGGUCCCAGAGCCUUUGCCCUCAAGGCAGCAGGCCACUGAGAGGCGACAGACCUGGACUCAAAUCCAGCGUGACCAUUUCCAAGCCAUGAGACGUUACUUCACCUCCUUGGCCUCAGUUUCCUCAUCUGCACAAUGGCGUUGUGAGGAUCAGAGCAAAUAUAAGUGGAACUUCAAGCUCUGAGCUGUGUCUGGCAAUCAGGAGAUGCUCAGUUAAUGCUCCUCCUGCUUCUGCUCUUCUUCUU